rfam:Agrilus planipennis Contig2167, whole genome shotgun sequence.
AAAAAAUGGGUUUUGGGGAUUAUCCUGUCGAAUACGAUCCGAAAGUUCAUGGUCCUUAUGAUCCUGCUCGUUACUACGGAAAAGGUAAUUUACGAA